rnacentral:rRNA from 1 species
UACGUAGGGUGCGAGCGUUAAUCGGAAUUACUGGGCGUAAAGCGUGCGCAGGCGGUUCGUUGUGUCCGUCGUGAAAGCCCCGGGCUUAACCUGGGAAUUGCGAUGGAAACUAGCGAGCUGGAGUGUGGCAGAGGGGGGUGGAAUUCCGCGUGUAGCAGUGAAAUGCGUAGAGAUGCGGAGGAACACCGAUGGCGAAGGCAGCCCCCUGGGCUAACACUGACGCUCAGGCACGAAAGCGUGGGGAGCAAACAGG